rnacentral:misc_RNA from 1 species
GCUCUUAUCAGCAGUUGCUGGAUGACCGUCGAGGAAUCUGCAUACGGAGUGGCGGCAACGGCAGAACGCUUCUUCAAAUCGCGACUGAGUUCGGUUUCUGGAGUAAUUUUCGCGCGAAAGUUUCGGCGUUUAGUGUGAGUGAGUUGGGGUGUUAAGGUGGAGGCGUGUGCUCUUGUUUUCUUUUCUCUUUUUUUUCUCCUGACUCAAAGUGAUCAGUUGUGCCAGAGGAGAUUUGAGUCGAGGCAGUGACAGCUAUACGACAUUGAGUUGCGUCUCACUUGCGGCGAACAAUUCCAGUCCAGAUUAUGCUUGAGGAGAUAAUUGGAUUAACCGAGUGCGGGUGACCUUCUCCGUCUUCGUGGGUGGAGUCAAAUUCUCAGUGAGAGAUGAACUAGUUUUGGAAGUGAAAUUUGAAAACUGUGGGCGGAAGAAGAAUCAGCAAUUGAAAGUUUGUGUGAUAUGUAGUAAAAUAAAGUGAUGAGUUGUUCAAGACUCCGUGAUCAUCGGCCCCCAAAAGCAUCAUCAUUUGAUUAGUGUGAGUGGUGACACGUGCGAGUGCAAAAACGUUCGGAAAAGUGUGAUGAUGGGUGCGUUACGUAGUGGUUGACUGGGGGGAAAUUAUCACAAAGAAAACGAACGUGACACUCAACGACGAGCACGGUCGAAAUGUUGAGGAAAAUGGCUAGAGGAAAAUAAAUGUGACAAAAACUACAAUUUAAAGUGAAACAGUGAAAUUAAACCAGAAAUGCUAGAAUCUACCCCGUUCUGGAAUGCCGGCGGUUCCGGAAGUGGUGCCGGUGACCUAUCUCAACUACCGUUUGCGGACAGUAUGCUGCUGGCGGCGGCGGCCGAGGUCAACGCUUCCGUCGAGGAACUUUGCUUGCUGCAGCGGACCGCCGAAGAGCUGCUGACGGAUUUGGCCUGCCCGACGUUUUUCGACUCGGUUUCCUGCUGGCCGCGGACGCCACCGGCCACGUUGGCCAUCCUGCCGUGCAUGACCGAAUUUAAGGGCGUUCAGUAUGACAGCACACAGAACGCCAGCCGGUACUGCAACAUCAACGGCACGUGGGACAACUACACCAACUACGGCGAGUGCCAGCACGUGGGCACGUCCGCCCUGCCCGAGUUCGAGCUGCACAUCGAGCUGCCAACCAUCGUGUACUUUGUCGGCUACAGUAUUAGUCUGGCAGCACUGGUGCUCGCCGUCACGGUGCUGGUUAACUUCAAGGAUCUGCGAUGUCUCAGAAACACAAUUCACAUCAACCUAUUUCUAACGUACAUUAUGUCGUCCAGCCUGUGGAUGCUGAUACUCUCUCUACAGAUGACAACCAAGACGGAAAUCGUCGACUGUAUAUUUUUAGUUACCCUGUUCCAUUACUUUAGCACGACAAACUUCUUCUGGAUGCUGGUGGAAGGUCUGUACCUGUACAUGCUGGUGGUGCAAACGUUUUCCGGAGACAAUUUGCGUUUUCGAAAGUACGCCAUCAUCGGAUGGGGUGGUCCCGUGAUCUUCGUUGGAGCGUGGGCACUGACCAGGCCAUUUUACUUAACAGAAGCCACCAUCACACCAACGGCGGAACAUCCCAACAAGCUCGAAAUUGAAUGCUCUUGGAUGCGGGAAUCUCACAUCGAUUGGAUAAUUCAGGGCCCGACCUGUACCGUGCUGGUGAUCAAUCUGAUUUUCCUGCUCCGGAUAAUGUGGGUCCUGAUCACGAAGCUCCGGUCGGCGAACACGCUCGAGACGCGCCAGUACCGGAAGGCUUCGAAGGCGCUGCUCGUACUUAUCCCGCUGCUGGGCAUCACGUACCUCAUCGUGAUCUACGGACCGGAGGAGGGCGGCGUCGGAAGCCACAUCUUUGCGGUCACCAGGGCGAUUCUGCUGAGCACACAGGGCUUCGUCGUGUCACUGCUGUACUGCUUCCUGAACUCGGAGGUGCGCCAAACGCUGCGGCACCAUUUUUACCGCUGGCGUGACGAACGGAACAUCCUGCGGCCCGGCGGUGGCAACAAAGCGGCCAACAACCAUCGCAGACCAACCAUCAGCAAAGACUACUCGCCGAGGUCACGGACCGAGAGCAUACGUGUGACAACCACGUCGGCGCCGUUAAUUUGAUUUGAUCUCUCUUUCAUUUUUGCAAAUAUUAUCCUCGGUUUCUGUUUCCAGCGCUUGAAUGCAUGCGAAUUUGUUUAUUAUUUUUCCUUUUGUAAAUAGCACCUGUUACUACAAAAUCUAUGCAUUCGAAAAUGCAUUUAAAACACCCUGGAGUACAGCAUCGUGAUAAUGAAGAGCUCGGCGUCCCGCAACUGAGAUUGGCAUUCACCUGCCGCUGAGGCAGGACCACCAAUAUCGUCAAUUCCAAUGGCAGCUCCCCCGCUCCAACCGCAGCCAGCUUGGCAAAUCUCAACGACUACUUCGUUCAUCACAGACGGGAGCGCCACCACCGCCGACAAAAGUGACAGCAAAUCGAAUUAAAUUCAACACUUUUCGCAGCAGUGGUGUGGUGAGAUGGUGUAAACAAAACGCACACACCAAUUCACACACACACUUGACAGCUUUUCCACGUGAAGUUGACACGUGGGUGAUUGAGUCUUUUGAGGGACCUGUGAGUCGCUAGAGUGAGGGUUAAUAUUUGAACGUUUUUUCUUGAAUGGGUCUCAUCUUACAAUUUGAACGGGGUGAUUCCCCUUUCGAAUGCGUGUGAUUGAGUGGAUGUGUGUGUGAACUAGUGAACAGAACAUUCCAAAUAACUUGUGCAAGGUUGAGAUUGAAUUUCAAUUGUGGAAAAGUCUGGAAAGUUGCUGAAAACGGCGAUGAUGACGAAGACGACGCAGUCGAGGAGAAAGAGUAAAUAUUUGUGACUUGUUGUGUAGCUAAAUUAAAAAAGGCGCCACAUAAGAUGUGGUGAAGAUUACACACGGCAUAGAAGGCGCAAAAUUCAAGGGAUCUGUCUAUUUAUCUACAUGUGCGUGUGUGAGUUUGUGUUAAACACAGACGGAACUGUAUGCUGAAAAUAAAUAAAAACUUUUUGAAGUACAACGGCCGUAUACUAGAGAAUAACAUUUUCUACUGUUUGUAUACCGUAAACACAUUGCCAAAGUCUUAGCUGUUUAAAUAGGUGGAAUGUAUGUAUAUUUGUAAAUAUCGGAAAAGAAAUAAAAAUCCUAUAUUUUAUGUGUCUCGAUGGAUAA